GAGGAAGCAGAGGGGCAGGUUUAACUAGCGUUCACUUGGCAAUGUUAACCUACUAGUUGGUGGCCUAGGCCAGCUAGGCCUCUCACUGUCCAGGUUCUGAUGAGAAAGCAGUACUGAAACUACAGAGUCUCUGUUGAGGCCUCAGGAGAAGUCCAGGGAGCCCAAAUCGGCACCCAGAGCUGAUCUUGUCAUCAGAAAAGCUUCCGCCAUCGCUGAGGAUCAUGGGAAGUAAGAUCAACUCCUUCUCUGUUCCCAUCAAAAUGGGGAAGGAGGAAGAGGAGGAUGAAGAGGAAGAGGAGCAGAAGCAGCAAAAUCAGUAGCAGCUGCUUCCCAGGGAUAUCUACUGGACAUGGCCUAACAAAAUAAAAUAGAACAGAGCACAAACUCUCAUAUCAUACCUAGAUGUGGAAUCCAAAUAGGAGGAAAAGAGUUCCAAGCAAAGGAAAAGAUUCAGAGGCACAUGUCAUCCCACCCCUACUGUUAGGAGUCUCACAAGAACACCCAGCUGCUACACAACCAUAAGAACUGGAUGAUAAAGUUUAACCUCCAUGGCACAAGCAAG
rnacentral:lncRNA from 1 species